GAGUAUGAUGGAGGUCCAAUGCGACCUCAUUCCUCUAAACCAGAUCAUUCAGCAACUGAACAACACCCACCACCUGUUGUUAUACACCCACCCCCUGCAACCCCGACGGCAUGCAGUGGAAUGAAUCGACAAGAAUUAGAAAAUUGUAUACGUCGUCAAGUAAACAGGGAUCUCUGCAAGAAUUAUAACAUAUGUUAAAAUGAUCCAUAAAUUAUGUAGUAUUAUUAUUACCAAUGCUUUAGAUAAUUAAUUAAUCAAUUAAAUAGAUGGUUUAUAAACUUUA